rnacentral:tRNA from 1 species
GGGUGUAUAGCUCAGUGGUAGAGCAUUCGACUGCCGAUCCUGAGGUCCGUUGUUCAAAUCCGUGUUCCUCUU